rnacentral:rRNA from 1 species
CAGCCGCCGCGGUAAUACGGAGGGUCCAAGCGUUAUCCGGAAUCAUUGGGUUUAAAGGGUCCGUAGGCGGCCAAAUAAGUCAGUGGUGAAAGCCCAUCGCUCAACGAUGGAACGGCCAUUGAUACUGUUUGGCUUGAAUUAUUAGGAAGUAACUAGAAUAUGUAGUGUAGCGGUGAAAUGCUUAGAGAUUACAUGGAAUACCAAUUGCGAAGGCAGGUUACUACUAAUAUAUUGACGCUGAUGGACGAAAGCGUGGGGAGCGAACAGGAUUAGAUACCCUGGUAGUCCACGCCGUAAACGAUGGAUACUAGCUGUUCGGAGCAAUCUGAGUGGCUAAGCGAAAGUGAUAAGUAUCCCACCUGGGGAGUACGUUCGCAAGAAUGAAACUCAAAUGAAUUGACGG